rnacentral:rRNA from 1 species
UCCUACGGGGGGCAGCAGUGAGGAAUAUUGGUCAAUGGUCGGGAGACUGAACCAGCCAAGCCGCGUGAGGGAUGAAGGUACAGAGUAUCGUAAACCUCUUUUGUCAGGGAACAAAGGCGGGGACGUGUCCCCGGAUGAGUGUACCUGAAGAAAAAGCAUCGGCUAACUCCGUGCCAGCAGCCGCGGUAAUACGAAGGAUGCGAGCGUUAUCCGGAUUUAUUGGGUUUAAAGGGUGCGCAGGCGGUCUGUUAAGUCAGCGGUCAAAGCCCGGGGCUCAACCCCGGCCCGCCGUUGAAACUGGCAGG